rnacentral:piRNA from 1 species
UGGGACCGUCUCUUCAUUUUC